rnacentral:rRNA from 1 species
UACGGAGGGCGCAAGCGUUAUCCGGAAUUAUUGGGCGUAAAGAGCUCGUAGGCGGUUUGUCGCGUCUGCCGUGAAAGACCGGGGCUUAACCCCGGAUCUGCGGUGGGUACGGGCAGACUAGAGUGCAGUAGGGGAGACUGGAAUUCCUGGUGUAGCGGUGAAAUGCGCAGAUAUCAGGAGGAACACCGAUGGCGAAGGCAGGUCUCUGGGCUGUAACUGACGCUGAGGAGCGAAAGCAUGGGGAGCGAACAGG